AUUGAACGCUGGCGGAAUGCUUUACACAUGCAAGUCGGACGGCAGCACGAACUUCGGUCUGGUGGCGAGUGGCGAACGGGUGAGUAAUGUAUCGGAACGUGCUCAGUCGUGGGGGAUAACGUAGUGAAAAUUACGCUAAUACCGCAUACGAUCUAUGGAUGAAAGCGGGGGAUCGCAACACCUCGCGCGAUUGGAGCGGCCGAUAUCAGAUUAGGUAAUUGGUGGGGUAAAGGCCCACCAAGCCAACGAUCUGUAGCUAGUCUGAGAGGACGACCAGCCACACUAGAACUGAGACACGGUCCAGACUCCUACGGGAGGCAGCAGUGGGGAAUUUUGGACAAUGGGCGAAAGCCUGAUCCAGCCAUUCCGCGUGCAGGAUGAAGGCCCUCGGGUUGUAAACUGCUUUUGUACAGAACGAAAAGGUUUCUACUAAUACUAGGAGCUCAUGACGGUACUGUAAGAAUAAGCACCGGCUAACUACGUGCCAGCCGCCGCGGUAA
rnacentral:rRNA from 1 species